CGAAGGUUGUAUGACACGCGCCGAGAGCGUGCGUAAAGUACAAUGAAGUUGUGAUAUUUACAUCCAUUUUUGGAGAAUUAUUAAAUUAACAAACAUGCGUUUAUUAACUUACUUUUUUUUCGUAUUUUAUGAAACAUGUUUUGUUGUGCUAUUUGUAUCCAUUUGUAUAUUAUGCGAUGUACGAAUAGUUCUAUGAUGUUCAGCUAACUGAAUCAAAGGAAUUUCAUCGUCGGAAUCAUCAUCCGACGGAACUGAUAUGUCAAAAUCAGAAUGAUAAAUGAUUAUUAUCUUUAUUUUAAAUUAGAUCACUGGCAGACAACAUUAUUGUACUCUUUUGAAAAGACAAAUACAGUAUGAAAGAAACACUGAGGAGUUCGUCAUUUUUAUUUCCUCUUCAUGACCGCAUAAUGGGGAUAAUAAGCCAGCUACUCGCUAGGUAAGGUGUAAACAAUGCUGACCCGGAUUCUUAUUAUCUCACUAAUGGAUUCUGAGAAGAAAUCAAAUGUUUUGGAUGGAAAGUUAUACAAUUACAUAGAGAAUUAAUAAAAAGAGGGGCAUCAAUCAAAGGCAGAAAGGAAGAUUUGUUAACAAGACUUGAAGCAUAUGACAGAAAUCAAGACUUCAGGGGUGAACCUAUUCUCCUACCAGAACCUCUGGAUUCAGACUGGCCCACUGAAGGGUUUCAUCAGCUGCAAGCAAACCAUAGGAUCCACUUCCCUAAAUUGGGAAGCAAUAUGAAAAUCCAGCAAUUAAGAAAUUUGAAAAGCAAACGAGAUAUAGUGUCAACAACUGCGGUUUAUUCAUAUGUAGAGAAAGUCCAUAUCUGGCUGCAACACCCGACGGAGUCAUUAGACUGAUUGAUUCUAUUGUGCAUAUUGUAAAAAAAAGUUCUAUUAAUUCACAUUAUAUAAAAAAUUAGAGGUAUGUAUGCAACGAGAUACUGUAAAAGUUACUGAAACAAAAUUAUGUUCUAUUCU